rnacentral:rRNA from 1 species
CCUACGGGCGGCAGCAGUGGGGAAUAUUGCACAAUGGGGGAAACCCUGAUGCAGCGACGCCGCGUGAGUGAAGAAGUAACUCGUUAUGUAAAGCUCUAUCAGCAGGGAAGAAAAUGACGGUACCUGUGUAAGAAGCCCCGGCUAACUACGUGACAGCAGCCGCGGUAAUACGUAGGGGGCCAGCGUUAUCCGGAUUUACUGGGUGUUAAGGGAGCGUAGACGGGAGUGCAAGUCUGGAGUGAAAGGCGGGGGCUCAACCCCCGGACUGCUCUGGAAACUGUACGGCUGGAGUGCAGGAGAGGUAAGUGGAAUGCCUGGUGUAGCGGUGAAAUGCGUAGAUAUUAGGAAGAACACCAGUGGCGAAGGCAGCUUACUGGACUGUAACUGACGUUGAGGCUCGAAAGCGUGGGGAGCAAACAGGAUUAGAUACCCCAGUAGUC